rnacentral:rRNA from 1 species
ACUUUCAACAUCGGAUCUCUUGGUUCUGGCAUCGAUGAAGAACGCAGCAAAAUGCGAUAAGUAAUGUGAAUUGCAGAAUUCAGUGAAUCAUCGAAUCUUUGAACGCACAUUGCGCCCGCCAGUAUUCUGGCGGGCAUGCCUGUUCGAGCGUCAUUUC